rnacentral:rRNA from 1 species
UAUGAAUAAGGAUCGGCUAACUCCGUGCCAGCAGCCGCGGUAAUACGGAGGAUCCGAGCGUUAUCCGGAUUUAUUGGGUUUAAAGGGUGCGUAGGCGGCCUUUUAAGUCAGCGGUGAAAGUCUGUGGCUCAACCAUAGAAUUGCCGUUGAAACUGGGGGGCUUGAGUAUGUUUGAGGCAGGCGGAAUGCGUGGUGUAGCGGUGAAAUGCAUAGAUAUCACGCAGAACCCCGAUUGCGAAGGCAGCCUGCCAAGCCAUGACUGACGCUGAUGCACGAAAGCGUGGGGAUCAAACAGGAUUAGAUACCCUGGUAGUCCACGCAGUAAACGAUGAUCACUAGCUGUUUGCGAUACACUGUAAGCGGCACAGCGAAAGCGUUAAGUGAUCCACCUGGGGAGUACGCCGGCAACGGUGAAACUCAAAGGAAUUGACGGGGGCCCGCACAAGCGGAGGAACAUGUGGUUUAAUUCGAUGAUACGCGAGGAACCUUACCCGGGCUUGAAUUGCAACUGAAUGAUGUGGAGACAUGUCAGCCGCAAGGCAGUUGUGAAGGUGCUGCAUGGUUGUCGUCAGCUCGUGCCGUGAGGUGUCGGCUUAAGUGCCAUAACGAGCGCAACCCUUGCCACUAGUUACUAACAGGUAAAGCUGAGGACUCUGGUGGGACUGCCAGCGUAAGCUGCGAGGAAGGCGGGGAUGACGUCAAAUCAGCACGGCCCUUACAUCCGGGGCGACACACGUGUUACAAUGGCGUGGACAAAGGGAGGCCACCUGGUGACAGGGAGCGAAUCCCCAAACCACGUCUCAGUUCGGAUCGGAGUCUGCAACCCGACUCCGUGAAGCUGGAUUCGCUAGUAAUCGCGCAUCAGCCAUGGCGCGGUGAAUACGUUCCCGGGCCUUGUACACACCGCCCGUCAAGCCAUGGGAGCCGGGGGUACCUGAAGUCCGUAACCGCGAGGAUCGGCCUAGGGUAAAACUGGUGACUGGGGCUAAGUCGUAACAAGGUAGCCGUACCGGAAGGUGCGGCUG